AUUGAACGCUGGCGGCAUGCCUUACACAUGCAAGUCGAACGGUAACAGGUCUUCGGAUGCUGACGAGUGGCGAACGGGUGAGUAAUACAUCGGAACGUGCCUAGUAGUGGGGAUAACUACUCGAAAGAGUGGCUAAUACCGCACGAGAUCUACGGAUGAAGGCAGGGGAUCGCAAGACCUUGUGCUACUAGAGCGGCCGAUGGCAGAUUAGGUAGUUGGUGGGAUAAAAGCUUACCAAGCCGACGAUCUGUAGCUGGUCUGAGAGGACGAUCAGCCAAACUGGGACUGAGAAACGGCCCAGACUCCUACGGGAGGCAGCAGUGGGGAAUGUUGGACAAUGGGCGCAAGCCGGAUCCAGCAAUGCCGCGUGCAGGAUGAAGGCCUUCGGGUUGUAAACUGCUUUUGUACGGAACGAAAAGCCCCGGGUUAAUACCCUGGGGUCAUGACGGUACCGUAAGAAUAAGCACCGGCUAACUACGUGCCAGCCGCCGCCGUAA
rnacentral:rRNA from 1 species